rnacentral:piRNA from 1 species
AACGGAGCUUCAAUAUUCUUUAUCUGC